UACGGAGGGAGCUAGCGUUAUUCGGAAUUACUGGGCGUAAAGCGCACGUAGGCGGCUUUGUAAGUUAGAGGUGAAAGCCUGGAGCUCAACUCCAGAAUUGCCUUUAAGACUGCAUCGCUUGAAUCCAGGAGAGGUGAGUGGAAUUCCGAGUGUAGAGGUGAAAUUCGUAGAUAUUCGGAAGAACACCCAGUGGCGAAGGCGGCUCACUGGACUGGUAUUGACGCUGAGGUGCGAAAGCGUGGGGAGCAAACAGG
rnacentral:rRNA from 1 species